UUGCUUGAUCUCUAUGUGAGUUCUUGAGAGGAGAAACCCUAGGAGAGGGCCUACAACACUCAUCAGCCGCCGGUAGAUUCCGGGCCUGCGACACUCAUGAGUCUGUUACAGAUAGAAUAUUAAUGAAAUAGACAACCUAUACAAGGUUCUCUGCUACCCUCCCUGUUCUUCUUCAUCUCCUUCCGUUCUUCUCUUCUUAUUGCUCUUUUCUCCUGUUUUAUUGCAAGUAAUUCGCGGUUUCACACCACAAUACAAUUGUUAUUUGGAAUUAUGGUCUAAUAUCCCCUACAAAGUGAUGGGUCUUGAAUGACCGUUAAUUUGAUCCGUAGUUGAUGAAAUCUUCUUGUGGACAAUGGCUUGGUGAGUAUAUCGGCUACCUGAUCAAUAGUACUUAUGGGUAAGAGAUGAAUGUUAUUGGGUUGAAUAUUAUCUCUGAUGAACUUUUGAUUGAUCUCAAUAUGCUUAGUACAGGCAUGGAACAUUGGAUUGUUAGCUAAAGCGAUAGCAGACGUGUUGUCGCAAUGCAUAUCUAUGGGUUGAUUAAGAGAGAUACCGAACUCAGCUAGUAGUCGUCUCAGCCAAAUUUGAUCUGAGGUAAGAGCGGCUAGUGAUCUGUAUUCAGAUUCGAUGGAGGAUCUUGCGACGGUAUGCUGCUUUUUCACGGUCCAGUUGAUUAAUGUUUUGCCAAGAAAAGAGCAGUAUCGAGAAGUAGAUUUGCGGGUGAUGGGAUCUCUGGCCCAGUCGGCAUCUAAAAAGGAGGAGACUUUUUAAAAGGUAGACAUGUUGUGGUAGCGGAUUAUGCAUAUAAUGUGAGAGCUGAUUUAUGAUAAACGCAAUGUCCGAUCUUAUUAGUGUGAGGUACUGCAAUGAGCCAGUAAUACGUCUGUAAGCGGUGGGAUCAGAAAGAACAUGAUCCACUUGGAGAUCAUCGGGAAGCUUGGUGCAAUUUGGGUUGGAGAGAGGGUUGCAAUUGAGCAUAUGAGCUUGCUGAAGUUCGGAGAUGGCAUAAGGUUUUUGAUACAAAAAAUAGUUGUGAUCCAUACGUUUGAUCUGUAUGCCGAGGAACUCAUGUAUUUCGCCAA